rnacentral:rRNA from 1 species
AGUCCAGACUCCUACGGGAGGCAGCAGUGGGGAAUAUUGCACAAUGGGGGAAACCCUGAUGCAGCGACGCCGCGUGAGCGAUGAAGUAUUUCGGUAUGUAAAGCUCUAUCAGCAGGGAAGAAAAUGACGGUACCUGACUAAGAAGCCCCGGCUAACUACGUGCCAGCAGCCGCGGUAAUACGUAGGGGGCAAGCGUUAUCCGGAUUUACUGGGUGUAAAGGGAGCGUAGACGGUCCUGCAAGCCAGAUGUGAAAGCCCGGGGCUCAACCCCGGGACUGCAUUUGGAACUGUAAGGCUAGAGUGUCGGAGAGGCAGGCGGAAUUCCUGGUGUAGCGGUGAAAUGCGUAGAUAUCAGGAGGAACACCGGUGGCGAAGGCGGCCUGCUGGACUGCAACUGACGUUGAGGCCCGAAAGCGUGGGGAGCAAACAGGAUUAGAUACCCCUGUAC